rnacentral:rRNA from 1 species
UACAGAGGGUGCAAGCGUUAAUCGGAAUUACUGGGCGUAAAGCGUGCGUAGACGGUCGUGUAAGUCGGGUGUGAAAGCCCCGGGCUCAACCUGGGAAUUGCAUUCGAGACUGCAUGGCUAGGGUGCGGAAGAGGGAAGCGGAAUUUCCGGUGUAGCGGUGAAAUGCGUAGAUAUCGGAAGGAACACCAGUGGCGAAAGCGGCUUCCUGGUCCAGCACCGACGUUCAGGCACGAAAGCGUGGGGAGCAAACAGG